CAGGAAGUGAUGACACCUAUGACUGCUGAUGUGGCACUGAUUUCUUUUGUAUUCGUACUGUCUGAUCCUG
ensembl:snoRNA